AUUACAACUACCGGACGAGCUACUGCUUAAUCGAUCAAAAAAAAUAUCGGCAACAACAAAAAAGAAAAAGAAAAUGAAACAUUUUUAUCAAAGAAAAAUGGAUGGAAAACCGGUCUCUACUAUAAAAGACACGGGCAACUACUACCGGAUCAAUCAAAAAGAUUGUAACAUAUAGGGGAAACCAGUCUUUCUUUUUUAGGAAAAAAAAUUAUUAUUAUUAUUUGGGUUCCCCAUUUUGAUUCGCUUCUUGUUUCAACACUACCUGGGUAAUGAACUAGCGGGUCGGCUUGUUCUUUAUUAAGGCUGGCUGUAAGUGGUCGAACGCUCAGGUGAUGGGCUUAGUCUCUCCUCCGAAUGAAAGGCAAUAAAUUCCGCCCCGUGGGAUGAAGAAGGAACCCCCCUGGAAAAAAAAAAAGCCCUUGAGGAGUUCCCUAAAUGAACCGGCCGAUUGUUUUUUUUAUUUCCCACAUUCUUUCAGGUGUGGUUUUUCUACCUGAGAUUUUCGCCAAGUCCCCAUGG